UACGGAAGGCAGCAGUGGGGAAUAUUGCACAAUGGGCGCAAGCCUGAUGCAGCCAUGCCGCGUGUAUGAAGAAGGCCUUCGGGUUGUAAAGUACUUUCAGACGUGAGGAAGGUGUUAAGGUUAAUAACCUUAGCAAUUGACGUUAGCGACAGAAGAAGCACCGGCUAACUCCGUGCCAGCAGCCGCGGUAAUACGGAGGGUGCGAGCGUUAAUCGGAAUUACUGGGCGUAAAGGGCACGCAGGCGGUUAAUUAAGUUGGAUGUGAAAUCCCCGGGCUUAACCUGGGAAUGGCAUUCAAGACUGGUUAGCUAGAGUCUUGUAGAGGGGGUUAGAAUUCCAUGUGUAGCGGUGAAAUGCGUAGAGAUGUGGAGGAAUACCGGUGGCGAAGGCGGCCCCUGGACAAGACUGACGCUCAUGUGCGAAAGCGUGGGGAGCAAACAGGGAUUAGAUACC
rnacentral:rRNA from 1 species